GAUGAGCCUUUGGGUCGCUCGUU
rnacentral:siRNA from 1 species